UCGGGAAUUUUGGGCAAUGGGCGAAAGCCUGACCCAGCAACGCCGCGUGAAGGAUGAAGUAUUUCGGUAUGUAAACUUCGAAAGAAUAGGAAGAAUAAAUGACGGUACUAUUUAUAAGGUCCGGCUAACUACGUGCCAGCAGCCGCGGUAAUACGUAGGGACCAAGCGUUGUUCGGAUUUACUGGGCGUAAAGGGCGCGUAGGCGGCAAUUCAAGUCAUCUGUGAAAUCUCCGGGCUUAACUCGGAACGGUCAGAUGAUACUGCUUUGCUAGAGUGCAGAAGGGGCAAUCGGAAUUCUUGGUGUAGCGGUGAAAUGCGUAGAUAUCAAGAGGAACACCUGAGGUGAAGACGGGUUGCUGGGCUGACACUGACGCUGAGGCGCGAAAGCCAGGGGAGCAAACAGGAUUAGAUACCCCAGUAGUCCCUGAGCGGGCUGGCAAGGCGCAU
rnacentral:rRNA from 1 species